CCUCCCUGAAACGCGGUGUCAGAUGGUUACUGAUUAAUAUUUUGGAGAGGCCGCGGCGGCAGGCAGCGGCCUAGGUGACAGAGAGAAACUCCAUCUCAAAAAAAAAACAAAGAAAAAAGAAAAGAAAAGGAGGGGACACAGGCACAGAGAAGGCCAUGUGACGACGGAGACAGAUGGGAGCGAUGCAGCUACAGGCCUGGGAACACCGAGGAUUUCUGGAGCCUCGGGAAGCUGCAGGGAGGGCUGGAACGGAGCCUCCCCGACGGCCUCCAGAAGCAGCCAGCCCUGCCCACACCUUGAGUUCGGACUGCUGGCCUCCAGCACUGUGCAAGAGCAAACUCCUGUCAUUAGAAGCAACCUAGGCUGUGGCCACCCGCCCAUCUCCCUAGGAGGUCUGGCUGCUCUUGGAUACCCGGAGCCUCCUACCUCAGCUUGCUGGGCACUGACCUUGAGCGUUGCUCCCUCGACCUGCAGUGCUCCCUGCAGCGCCCCACCCCAUGGGGGACACAGGAGGGGACUCUCAGAGCCGUCCCCCCGACAGGCCGAGGCUCCUCCCAGGAGAGGACCCCACUGCCCCGCCAGCACUGGACACUGGACACUGUUUUCCAUAAACAUUUCUUUGAACUGAAUUUCAUUCUUCUCACCCAAGAAAUCUCUGGAAAACAAUGCUGAGGCCAGGGUGGAGUGCCGGGGAGAGGGGAUGUUUUAAUGGUUUGUGGAGGGUUUUCUGUUUUGUUUUGUUUGUUUUUUUCUGGCAUUGUCUCUCUCUUCUGAUUUCCCUGUAACUGACAGGGAGGAAAUGGAUUCUGAAAAUGGGUUCCUUCCCACCCCUGGGGGCUCUGAGAUCAAAGUGUGGUGGGGCCGGGUGGACAGGACUUGGUGCUCCGAGGUGGGGUCCUUCCUGAUUCCCUCCCACCUUCUCCACCAUGCCCCCCUUUACCCAACGGGGCCUGGCCAGGAAGGGGCAUACCAGGGGGCUAUUCUGGGGGACAGGUCUCCAGGGCACCUGCCCUGCGUGCCCACCCAGUGAGGGGUUCCUGGCCCAGAGUUGCCCCCUCAGCAUAUCCCAGGGGGCUGGUGACCCUGUAGGCCCCUCCACUUUGCUAAAGAGGAUACAGGGAGGGUUGGUGGCCCAGAACUCACGAACCACUGCUGACCAGGAAUGGCCAAGGGAGGCCCACACAGAACACCCAAUCCCACAGCCACCUGCUCUAGUACCACUUGGGGCCUCUCCAGCCACUGGCCUGGCUGCAUUUGCUCUCCAAAACUGCCACUUUCUUUUAGUUUUUAAGGGACAGGCUCUUGCUCUGUCACUGAGGCUGGAGUCCAGUGGCACAAUCAUAGCUCACUGCAGCCUCAAACUCCCGGGCUCAAGCGAUU
rnacentral:lncRNA from 1 species